rnacentral:misc_RNA from 1 species
UCCGGCUUGUCGCCGGCGGUCCCUUUAGAGUGCCCAACUUAAUGAUGGCAACUAAAGGCGAGGGUUGCGCUCGUUGCGGGACUUAACCCAACAUCUCAUGACACGAGCUGACGACAGCCAUGCACCACCUGUAUACCGACCACAAGGGGGGCCACAUCUCUGCAGCUUUCCGGUAUAUGUCAAACCCAGGUAAGGUUCUUCGCGUUGCAUCGAAUUAAUCCACAUAAUCCACCGCUUGUGCGGGUCCCCGUCAAUUCCUUUGAGUUUUAGCCUUGCGGCCGUACUCCCCAGGCGGGGCGCUUAAUGCGUUAGCUACGGCACGGAUCCCGUGGAAGGAAACCCACACCUAGCGCCCACCGUUUACGGCGUGGACUAC